rnacentral:lncRNA from 1 species
CAGGAUGGAAAAAAGAAAUUGUGUCAUAGUAACAACAUUUUCUAGAUUCUAACGUGUACGUAUUAAUACUAACAAAACAAUCAAGACCCUUUGCUAUUUGUUUCCUUAUAGAUACAAAUCUGAUAUUAUGAAGUUUUGCAACCAGCAGAGGCCCAUCUUCCCUUUGCUCACCUUGUAUCAUCACCGUCUGUGAAAACAUGAGCAUCCUGUGGGAGCUGGGGAUCUCCAUUGAUGUAGUAGUAGUAGUAGUAGUAGUAGUAGUAGUAGUAGUAGUAGUAGUAGUAGUAGUAGUAGUAGUAGUAGUAGAGGCAACGUCACAGUGGCCUAUGAAGGUAAUCUCGUCACGUUGAUCAUCAAGAGAAACCCCAUAACCACGUGCAUCCAACAAUCAGAAGCUUUAAAAAACAAUAGAGUGCUCAUCUUCCGUUUCCGGACCGACGUCUCUUGUGCUUUCUUCCACGAUAAUGGCAAGCAUUGAGAGAAUACGGUCAUCUGGAACUGGAAGUCGACAACUCUCCGUGGAUUUAGUGUUUGUAACCAAAGUGUAGACAUUGAUUGAUGCAGCUGAUGGUUGAAGGGAGUAGGCAUCCAAGGAUGGCUUGUUUUUUCCCAUUAUAAUGAAAAUCUCGAUACCCAACCUAAUAACAAUGGUUUUUACCCACGAGGAGUGAAUAUAGUUGCAAUCUUGGUAAAAAAAAAACAUAUAAAUCUACUGAUUUACUUGAUCCUUCGAAAAGGACCAAGUCCGAUGCCUGAAAAAGAGCCUUCCUGGGAUCAUAAAACUCAGGCCGCAACUGAGAAACAAUGGUAGAUCCCUGAUGCAUUUGGUGUGCAAAUCAAAAUCCUGUUUUCAACACAUAAUUAGCCCCUUCGUAUAAUCACAAUCGAUAGAAAUUAAAAGAGAUAACAGGGAACCCUAAAUCACCAAACAGGAAAUGAAUCCAAGUAUGAAACCCUAAAAAGCAGAGUUUGAACUUUUAGAAUGAAAUUGAGGGUUAAAAUAAAUAAAAAAAAUCUCUACAUACAAUCACCAUCGAUAGAAAACUAGAAAGAAAAACAAAUCAAAACAGGGAACCCAAAAUUACCAAACCAAAAUAGAAUCGAAGCAAGAAACCCAAAAAAGUAGAGUUGAAUUAACAGAAUGGAACUGUAGAUCAAAAUCAGAUAAAAGAAAUCGAAACAAAGCUGCCUGAGUGCUAAAACGUUCCAGAAACCGGGAAAAAACCAGAAAAAAAAAUCAAUCAGAGACUCAGCUGAAAACAGGAAAAAAAUGGAGUGAAUGGGAGAGGCAGCAGAAAAUUCAAUCAGAGAGGGAAG